rnacentral:hammerhead_ribozyme from 1 species
AUCUAGCUGAUUAGUCCUAAAUAGGACGAAACCAGCUUCCUAGAU